GAUGAACGCUGGCGGCGUGCCUAAUACAUGCAAGUCGAGCGAACAGACGAGGAGCUUGCUCCUCUGACGUUAGCGGCGGACGGGUGAGUAACACGUGGAUAACCUACCUAUAAGACUGGGAUAACUUCGGGAAACCGGAGCUAAUACCGGAUAAUAUAUUGAACCGCAUGGUUCAAUAGUGAAAGACGGUUUUGCUGUCACUUAUAGAUGGAUCCGCGCCGCAUUAGCUAGUUGGUAAGGUAACGGCUUACCAAGGCAACGAUGCGUAGCCGACCUGAGAGGGUGAUCGGCCACACUGGAACUGGGACACGGUCCAGACUCCUACGGGAGGCAGCAGUAGGGAAUCUUCCGCAAUGGGCGAAAGCCUGACGGAGCAACGCCGCGUGAGUGAUGAAGGUCUUCGGAUCGUAAAACUCUGUUAUUAGGGAAGAACAAAUGUGUAAGUAACUAUGCACGUCUUGACGGUACCUAAUCAGAAAGCCACGGCUAACUACGUGC
rnacentral:rRNA from 1 species